rnacentral:rRNA from 1 species
ACGCUCGACACCUACGAGGCAGCAGUGAGGAAUAUUGGUCAAUGGGCGCUAGCCUGAACCAGCCAAGUAGCGUGAAGGAUGAAGGCUCUAUGGGUCGUAAACUUCUUUUAUAUAAGAAUAAAGUGCAGUAUGUAUACUGUUUUGUAUGUAUUAUAUGAAUAAGGAUCGGCUAACUCCGNGCCAGCAGCCGCGGUAAUCUGAGCGGGCUGGCAAGGC